CUCCACUUGGAUCUGGAUUCUGUAUGAGCCUUUCUUUGGUAAAAAGUUGAAAACGACUGAUCUUUUCUAAGCCCCUUCAAUUUAUAAAGGAGAAAGCUGAGAUGGAACAAAGGCAAAGGAUUUGUCAAGGUCACCCAAGUGAGUUAGCGGUGGAUUAGGGCUUUAGGAGGGGACAGGCCCAGUGGCUGGGGCGGACUCCUGAGCACGCUGACUCGGUGGCCUGACCCACCCUUCCAGAAGUCUUGUGGGUUGCGGUGGGUUGCCCUCGCUUGGCUGGCACAGGACUGAGGACCCAGAAAACUUGAGUGCUGUUGUCACAGGCUGUCUCUGGGAGCGCUCUGUGCUGGAACAGACGAGGCCCCUUUAAUAAGCCCUGAAGACCACUGAUGCCACAGCUUGUGAAGACCUGGGGUCAAGUCCCAAGGAUGCCACUAACCUCAGUGCGAUUCUGGAUUUGUUAUGUGUUCUCUCUGAGCCUCCAUUUAGCUCGCCCGUGUGUGCACGUCUCCUCCCCUUGCACCUUACCUUACCCCAUUCAACAGGGUUGACAAAGAACUCGGGACCCCAACACUGGGGGAACUGGCCGAGAGGAGUGACGACGUCUGCUUCUGUUCUCUGUCUGUGUCUUUACCCUCCUUACAGGGACACCGAGUUGCAAUGGAGGCUAAGAGCUGCCUCUAACGUAAAAGAAGAGGAGGAGAGUUCCUGUAGUUCCCGGAGCUCGAGAGUCAGGGGCACUUGAGGUGACAGCCAGCAACUGAGAAGUUGAGCCAAGUGAAGAUGGGGAGCCAAAGGAAAGAUGAGACUCGGAAGACGGACCUGGAAUCACGGAAUUGCGCGCGACUCUUGGGGAUUAAACAACUAACUUUUUUGGUA